GUAGUCGAUGGGAAACAGGUUAAUAUUCCUGUACUUGGUGUUACUGCGAAGGGGGGACGGAGAAGGCUAUGUUGGCCGGGCGACGGUUGUCCCGGUUUAAGCGUGUAGGCUGGUUUUCCAGGCAAAUCCGGAAAACCAAGGCUGAGGCGUGAUGACGAGGCACUACGGUGCUGAAGCGACAAAUGCCCUGCUUCCAGGAAAAGCCUCUAAGCAUCAGGUAACAUCAAAUCGUACCCCAAACCGACACAGGUGGUCAGGUAGAGAAUACCAAGGCGCUUGAGAGAACUCGGGUGAAGGAACUAGGCAAAAUGGUGCCGUAACUUCGGGAGAAGGCACGCUGAUAUGUAGGUGAAGCGACUUGCUCGUGGAGCUGAAAUCAGUCGAAGAUACCAGCUGGCUGCAACUGUUUAUUAAAAACACAGCACUGUGCAAACACGAAAGUGGACGUAUACGGUGUGACGCCUGCCCGGUGCCGGAAGGUUAAUUGAUGGGGUUAGCGGUAACGCGAAGCUCUUGAUCGAAGCCCCGGUAAACGGCGGCCGUAACUAUAACGGUCCUAAGGUAGCGAAAUUCCUUGUCGGGUAAGUUCCGACCUGCACGAAUGGCGUAAUGAUGGCCAGGCUGUCUCCACCCGAGACUCAGUGAAAUUGAACUCGCUGUGAAGAUGCAGUGUACCCGCGGCAAGACGGAAAGACCCCGUGAACCUUUACUAUAGCUUGACACUGAACAUUGAGCCUUGAUGUGUAGGAUAGGUGGGAGGCUUUGAAGUGUGGACGCCAGUCUGCAUGGAGCCGACCUUGAAAUACCACCCUUUAAUGUUUGAUGUUCUAACGUUGGCCCGUAAUCCGGGUUGCGGACAGUGUCUGGUGGGUAGUUUGACUGGGGCGGUCUCCUCCUAAAGAGUAACGGAGGAGCACGAAGGUUGGCUAAUCCUGGUCGGACAUCAGGAGGUUAGUGCAAUGGCAUAAGCCAGCUUGACUGCGAGCGUGACGGCGCGAGCAGGUGCGAAAGCAGGUCAUAGUGAUCCGGUGGUUCUGAAUGGAAGGGCCAUCGCUCAACGGAUAAAAGGUACUCCGGGGAUAACAGGCUGAUACCGCCCAAGAGUUCAUAUCGACGGCGGUGUUUGGCACCUCGAUGUCGGCUCAUCACAUCCUGGGGCUGAAGUAGGUCCCAAGGGUAUGGCUGUUCGCCAUUUAAAGUGGUACGCGAGCUGGGUUUAGAACGUCGUGAGACAGUUCGGUCCCUAUCUGCCGUGGGCGCUGGAGAACUGAGGGGGGCUGCUCCUAGUACGAGAGGA
rnacentral:rRNA from 1 species